rnacentral:rRNA from 1 species
GAUCCUGGCUCAGGAUGAACGCUAGCUACAGGCUUAACACAUGCAAGUCGAGGGGCAGCAGGAUCUAGCAAUAGAUUGCUGGCGACCGGCGCACGGGUGAGUAACACGUAUCCAACCUGCCGUCUACUCUUGGACAGCCUUCUGAAAGGAAGAUUAAUACAAGAUGGCAUCAUGAGUCCGCAUGUUCACAUGAUUAAAGGUAUUCCGGUAGACGAUGGGG